CACGGGAGGGGCAAGCGUUAUUCAUCAUGACUCGGCGUAAAGGGUCUGUAGACAGUAAAGUAAGUUAACUGUUAAAACUUAAAGCCUAACUUUAAAUAAGCUUUUAAUACUGCUUUACUUGAGUUUUAUACGGAAAAGUAGAAUUUUAUAUGAAAGGGUGAAAUCUGCAAAUAUAUAAAAGAAUGCCGGUAGCGAAAGCGACUUUUUAGUAAAAACUGACGUUGAGAGACGAAAGUGUGGGGAGCAAACAGG
rnacentral:rRNA from 1 species